AGGCUUGAGCCACUGCGCCCAGCUGUGUACUUUGAUUUUCAAUAAAUCCCUUCAUUCCUUCCUUAUUUUGUUUGUGCCUUUUGUCUAAUUCUUUGUUCAAGACACCAAGAAACUGGACACCCUCCACCGGUAACAUAUUUUGGCGAGCCAGCCAGGAGAAGGUAGGCCCAAAGUUUGGGAUUUAUUUUUCUCCUUUCCCCUUUUACAUACAGGGAGAUUUUUCUCUGUCUGUCUGUUCCUUUCCACCUCGGGACCCUUGGUGGGAAGCGCAGAAACAUGGAAGCAACUGCAGGUUUCUGGCUGUGACCAGUGAAAUAAGGGGUUUCCAUGUGGAGGUGCCUAACCACCACCACCCUAUUCACUUAAGGGACCUGAGUGUUUUUCUUUUUUCUUUUCCUUUGUUUGUUUUUCAGUCUUUUAGCGGCUGUUUCCUAGUAGCUUCUUGGAAAUUGAGGGCAAUUCGCUGGGGUCACUCCCUGGUAUCGCCUGAAGGCCAAAGAGUGAAUGGGAAUAAUUGCCCUACCCAGAAGGGGGAAUGACUCUUUUUUUUUUUUAUCUUUUCCAGGUGUGGUCCCUGAUCCCUACGGUGGUGGUGGUAACUCACACUUGUUUCAGUUCUGAAACUGCUCUUCCUGCUGCUGGAGCCCCCACCCCUGCUCCAUUUUGAAGUAGCUGAUCCGGAUCAGCUUAGAUUGUGCCAAGUUUCAAGAAAAAGAUGAAAUAUGAGUUGCAUUUUGACAAAUGAAGAGGAUGUGAAGGGCAGAAGGAGCAGAAACUACCAGCAGAGAUGCUAAGAUGAAAGGCACAGAGUGCAAGUUGGAUUGAAAAAACAAGACCUAUCCGAGUGCUGACUUCAAAAGACUCAUCUCAUACAUAAUGACACCCAUAGGCUCAAAGUAAAGGAUUGGAUAAAUAUUUAUUAUGCAAAUGGAAAACAAAACAAAAAAAAG
rnacentral:lncRNA from 1 species